rnacentral:rRNA from 1 species
UCCGCCGGAUACUACGAGCACCAGCUUAAAACCCCAAGGACCUGACGGCGCCUUAGACCCUUCUAGAGGAGCCUGUUCUAAAACCGAUUAUCCCCGUUAAACCUCACCACUUCUAGCAAGUCAGCCUAUAUACCACCGUCGCCAGCUUACCCUGUAAAGGUUAAAUAGUAAGCAGAAUUGGCAUAGCCAAAAACGUCAGGUCGAGGUGUAGCAAAUGAAGCGGGAAGAAAUGGGCUACAUUUUCUAAUGCAGAAUACACGAAUGUGCAAAUUGAAAUUAUGCCUGAAGGAGGAUUUAGUAGUAAAAAAGAA